rnacentral:tRNA from 2 species
AGGUGAGUAGCUCAACUGGCAGAGCAACGGUCGGCGUUUUCUAAAACGCACAAAACCGCAGGUUGUAGGUUCAAACCCUAUCUCACCUG